AUGGAAGGAGGCAGCACUUUAGUGCUCAGAAAGCUUGAAAGGAGUGUACCCAGACAGAACAAAUUCAGACUCCAGUUCUUUGUCUGCAUGAUCUGUUUUUAAUUUGAGUGCAAUGAGUUCUCCCUGAAGCUCAUUCUGCCAGCUGAUCAUUACUUUGGGCUGCUUUUGGGUGUCCCUUUCAUCUAAGAUGUGGUAAGUAAUAAGCCAUCUACACAUAUUUACAGACAGGUAGGGGGCUGGGGCAAACAAGGCUUGAGGCAAACACAGUGUGUUUGGCAUGUUUAUGGUCUCCUUUGUCUGCAGUGUACAGUGCAGGUGUUGCCAAGGACAUCACCAAGAACAUUCCCAACCUUGGACUGCUACCUAUUAUUGUUGCUCUGUGUGGGUGGUGAUGGAGCUGCAAUGUGUAGUCCAAGCACAAUCAAAAGAGACUUCAGGGCCUCAGCAUGUUCAGUAAUGGAAUCUGGAGCAUGGGUGAUUCUUUCCUCUGUCUUUCCAGUUUCAGGCAGCUACAUGGGAUGAAACAGACGGGACCAUAUCAACCAUUAAAACAUGGCUCCAUGACUGGUGCUACUAACAGUUUUGGAUUUUUUGAUAAUGGGAUGGCCUACACAGCACCAGACAUCCUGGUGUCAGAUGGGAUUCACAGAGGUCUUUUCUCAUGAGCUGGUGGGGCUCAGUGACAGAGCUUUAAGCUAGACAGGGAGGGGGAUAUUAGCAGGACUGCAUGUGACAAGCUGUGGGAUGACACACCAAGGUUAGAAGGACAGGGUGCUGGUGAGAGCCCUCAGCCUGCUACUCUGAGAUCUUCUGGCUACACUGAAGCACCUGAAGCUCUACAAAGAUGAGCCAUAUAUAGGUAGCCAGCCAGAAAAGGAAGAUCAAAGAAAGCGUCCUCCCCAUGAUGAGCAAAGUUGGCAAAUGGGUGACAAGAGAUAAGGGGAAGGCUGAUUUACUCAACAAGAUCAUGGAACAGAUGCUCCUACAAGCUGUGUUAAGGCACAAUAGAGGACAGGGAGGUGAUUUAGGACAGCCACCGUGGCUUCACCAAGGCAAGUCCUGCCUGACCCACCUAGUAGCCACAUCAAAUGAUUCUGUUCCUUUACUCCACUCUGGUGCAGUUCUGGCUUCAGUUUUGGAGCCCUCAGCACAGGAAAUACAUGGACAUAUUGGAGCAGGUCCAGAGGAGGGCCACAAAAAUAAUAAUAAGGAUGGAAUACCUCUGCUAUGAUGGAAGACUGAGGGAAUUGGGGUUGUUCAGCCUGGAGAAGAGAAGGCUCCAGGGGGACCUUGCUGUGGCCUUUCAGCACUGAAACUUUUUAACAGGACUUGUAGUGGUAGGAGUGAAGGAGUGAGACAGCUACAGAAGUUGAGGUGGGUAGUGCUGCUGACUUCUUGGCCCUGGUACAGUGGAAGCUGUGGGAGAGAGAAACUCAAGGCAAGAACAAAAGUGAAGACAUCAUGUCUGGUCACUCUGACGAGAGAAGAUGGAACAAGGACAUUACUGGCACAAGAAAACAUAACAGGGACUUGGUAACCAAAAAGAUUGUGUUAUGUUAACAGGGGCAAAGAGGUCCGAGUAGAAAAUUUUGUUUGGAACUUAGAGAACUGUAAAUAUGGGUGAUUAGUGUAAUAAACUGGCUUUGCUUGGA